CCCUUAGAUGUUCUGGGCCGCACGCGCGCUACACUGAUGCGUUCAACGAGUAUACAACCUUGAUCGAUAGGUCUGGGUAAUCUUUUGAAUGCGCAUCGUGCUAGGGAUAGACUGUUGCAAUUUUCAGUCUUGAACGAGGAAUUCCUAGUAAACGCAAGUCAUCAGCUUGCAUUGAUUACGUCCCUGCCCUUUGUACACACCGCCCGUCGCUCCUACCGAUCGAAGAGUUAGGUGAAUUGUUUUGAUCGAUAAGAUUUGACUAUGGUCAACUCUCGUUGUGAAAUUCUGUGAAUCUGACUGUUUAGAGGAAGGAAAAGUCGUAACA
rnacentral:rRNA from 1 species